ACAGUUUCCUGUCGCGUGGUUGUGUUUCCUCUCCGGCCAGUGCCAUCCGCCCAAAUCUACAGACAUCCCGCGUGUUCCCGGGCUGUCCGCUCGUCUCCCCUAUACAGGGCGCCAAGGCUGUAGACUGCGCAGCCCUUCUAGAGACAGACGGAAGCUCCGUGGGUUGACAGAUUACACCUUCUGGAGCCCCCUGUUCCCUUCAACUCCGUGAUGGGCAUCCACUGUCCAGGGAGAGGAUGCCUGGAAAUGACAGCCGGGGUCUACAGUGGCCAUAAGAGUUGUCCCCAUCUUGCUAGAUCGACAGACUGGUGCCCCCGAAUGAGGACUGUGCCCUGGGACAGGGGAUAUGGUAUAGUUGGAAGUUUGUGAAGGUAAGGUGAGGCUGGGUUCUUUGAGAUGUGCCUGUUUCUUGCUGUACCCACUUGGGAUCUGUGUCUUGUGUGUCCUGUGUUCCCGCUGUCCCCUCUGUGCCCCUCUGCUUUACUCUGGUGGGUGGAGAGCAGAAUGGAAAGGAGCCAGAAGGGUUUGAGGGGUCAUAUGCACCAUCCAGAUCUCAGUCGCUGCUCUCUGCUGGCUUCCGGGCCUUGUCUGGUUCUCGAUUUCCUCAUCUGAAAAAUGGGACUGCCUCUGUGAGUCCUGUCACCUCACUUCUGCCAGCUGGGCAGGUUGCGUUGAUCUAAGACAGCAAGUGCUGAGUCUACUGUAGGCCUAGUGGCCAUUGCUCAUUAGAAUUGUCACUUCCUCCUGGCCAGUCUUCCGAGCUCUCCUUAAGGAACAGUUGUUGCUCAGUUAGGAGCAGCCUCAUUCCUCUGUUGGCUAUCUGGCUGUUGCCUGUCCGUCUCUUUCCAGUUUAACCAUUACCCAGCUCUUGGCCAUAGUCUUCCCUCUCCUUGCCCUCUGCCCUCUGCCCCUGUAUUCGAAAGUGAUUGUGGGCUGCCCCGUGCCCUGGUCAUUGAUACUGCAGGGAGAGGAUUCGGAAAGCCUUUCCCCGUGUUUGGAGGAUCCACACUUGUCCUUGCCAAACCCUGGUGCUUUCCCACAUUGCCCGCUGCCUGUCAUUCUGGCACUUCUGUGAAGCAGUGGUGGGGAGCUCGGAUGCUGGCUGCUUCCUUCAGAUCCUUUCUCAGCCUCUACAUCACAGUUGUCACCUCUUCAGGACACUUGAGAACUUGUAGAAAAUGUCCCGUUGCUUGACUUACUAGCGUGCAUCUUGCUGUGUUCUGUUAGACAAGAGUCAGGGUUCUGACUGAACAGAUGAACCACCAAGGGACAGUCACUUUGUGUAAGGCAUUGUCACAUAUAAACUGGGUAAGCAGCCUGACAGGGAGGCCCAGGAGGGAGCAGAUUUGCCGUUCUGCCUCCUUGAAUUCUUCCCUCGUGGCUUUUGACCCCUGCCUUAAGUAGCCGCUUGGGAAGGGUUUUCUCUCCGCCCUGUGACAACAGGCAAGAGUGGGGGCCCAACAAUACAGAGUAAGUGAUGUGUCACUUCUACUCUUCCAUGCCCAGUGCCAGGAGAGACGGUACACUCGAGUGCUGUGCCCUGGUGGGCCUUUGAACAGCCAGUGGCAGGUGCAGUGGAUCAUCAGCCCUGUCUCCCAAGAGCCUCGCCAGUCCCUUCUCCGGAGAGCAAGUGGCUCCACUGGCUGCUCCGGAGGCCAUAGCAGGUAGGUCCUACACUCGCUACUGUUCAGAGGCCUUGUCAAGAGAUUGGAGUUUGAGAGAAUGUAAAGAUGGCCCUGUCUAGACUGGAACCCCAGCCUUUGAGUCCCUGGAGUUUCGUGUAGUAUUCUCUGCCUCUUUGGGGGUGGGAGGAUGAGUGGGGAGUGGUGUCUGGAUCCUCCCGCCUCCCUGGGAGACAGACCUAGGUCGUGCAUGGUGCCUCCAGAUACCUGCGAGGGAUAAGUGCGAGGCCUUUCCAGUGUUAGUGAAUUGUAAGGGCGAGGGGGUGGACGCAGACAUUGGAGACACCUGUAUAUGCCAACGUAUAUCUCUCACCUUUAUCUUUGUCAUUGUGUUGGGUAGCAGUGACUUGUUAGCAGUGGAGGGAAAAUUCAGUUGGAUGAUGGAGAGUUAGGGUGGUCCGGAGCAUCUGUCUGCUCUGGCUUCCUGAGGCCCCUCCCUUCCCUUUCGUUCUUCUGCCUGUGGCAGAAGUGCACCCACGUGUGUGCCUUGCUUCUGUCCUGGAGAGCAGGGCUCAGGCUAGACAUUGUUGCCUUGAGUCCCCAUCAGGCGACCAGCUGUUACCUAGCUAGUCCCCAGAUUCCACCGUAAUUAAGCAGUCUCACCUAUUUUGAACUUUCAUUUCCUGACUUUGAAACCUAAAGCUAAGACAGAUUUUUCAGGACCAACUCUCCCUUAUUCUUGGCAGAUUGUGGGGUUCUGUGCAGUUGAUGUUAGUUAGCCACAGGAUCCACAUGUUCACCGUGGCUUGCGCCCCUGCAUCCGAAAGUGAUCUUGGCUGCUAUGCCCCGUCAUUGGUAGUGCAGGGAAAGGAUGCGGAGCUCGGGGCGUCUGGCCUGACCCCUCCAGAUCCUGAAGCUUUCCUACAAUGGUGUCUUUCUCUGCAGCCUUACAGAAGUGUGGAACUUUCUGGAAGCUGCACAAGUCAGUGCUGGGUCUUUGCAACUUGGUGUUCUGUUUCUAGAAACUUUGGGGUAUUUACAUGUGAUAGGUCAGCACAGAUAGAUUUCCAAUGGGUCCCUAGAUGGGUCCCCUAACUUUUCACAUAGGAACAGAGGGGAGAUGACAGGAGGAAAUGUGGGGCUGGACUGACUGGAGCUUUGUGUGCUGGGGUGGGAUGAGACGGGGCAGGGCAUGUCACAGCCCUUAAGCAUGUGUUGAGAGAAGGAGCUCCCUGGUGUAGUGUGCCGCUCCCUUCCCAGCCCUGUAGUCCCUGUGGCCUGAUGUGUGUAUUUGCAUCACUUGUGAGCCCCCAGUCUUAAAAUGCAUGGUUUGCAGACCAAAAUGCAGUCCGACAUUUUUUGUUUCACAUGUAUAUGUGAAUGCGUGUACAUAUGUAUGUAUAUCAUGUGUGCCUAGUGCCCGUGAAGAGUUUAUUGGGGGCUAAGAAUUUCAGAAGGUGACUCUCUUCAGAAUCUGUAUAACUUCAGGCAUGGCUAUGUUGGAGAAGUAGCUGGGAGCUCACACAUGUGAUACAACCACCAGGCAGGGAGCUAACUGAAUGGCAUGGGCUUUUGAAACCUCGAAGCUUUCCUACCCCACCCCCAUGAUACCUCCAGUAAUAAAGCCACACUUCCUAAUGGUCCCAAGCAGUUCUACCAACCAGGGACCAAGUAUUUUAAGUAUAGGAGCCUAUGGGUGGGGUCCCUGCUGCAGCUACCUUAUAUCCCACCCAUCCCCAACUAAUAGCUGUGUCUUGGUUCCUGGUGAGAUCUUGGUUGACUCUGAGGUCCUGAGUGUGGCUUGUCUCUGCAGGAUUGUCACCUGUACUCAACAGUCCUCCUCGACUUUCCAGAAGAGGCUGGAACAGGGCCCUUGAAGAUGUUUGUGGACACCAGAGUGCCAAAGACCACGCUCAAAGUGAAACUGGAGACACCGCCCCCUCGGCAUCAUGAAACAGCUUUUUACUGUGCUUGGUCACUGGCUCAUACAUGGGAGAUUCCAGCAUACAAAGUCUUGACACCAACACCUCGGAGGGCUGUGUUCUGUCCCCAUGACCAUCUGCCAGUGCCUGGAAUGACUAAUGCCAAGAACUUGGUGCCAACUUCCUGUUACCUCCCUAACAGCUGUGCAAUAAAUCUCAUAGAUU
ensembl:processed_transcript uncharacterized LOC110317502